rnacentral:lncRNA from 1 species
UUUUUUAUUGAAUCCAUACAAAUGUAUCAGCAUUACCAUGACCCUUAUAGACCUGUAGUCCUUCCUUGUUGUCCAUUGAUGAUGAAUAUGCAUAGCCUGGUUCACCCAAGUUCUUUUGGGAAGGCCAGUCCAGUUAUAUUGACAUGGCCAUCUCCAAUGAGAUGAGGUGGACAGAAGGGAGUCAGUGGGGUGGCCAUUAUCAGAAGAUCCAUCCCAUUUACACUUUCU